rnacentral:lncRNA from 1 species
GGGAAAGCAUGAGCAAGAGCUUUGAUAGCGGGGAACAGACAGAGACAGACAGUUGAGUGGUGGAUUUUGGUCAAAGGUAAUCUAGGAGAGACGACGAGGAGAGGGAACGUGGACGAAAAUGCCCUUGUACGAAAUGAGACUGUCCUCCACUCGCACAUCAUCAGGAAAAUUAGGUUUACUGGGGUGGAUCCCAAAAUAAAUGUGUAAAGUGAUAAAAACAAAUAAACAGAAGAUGGCAGAGGAUAAAACGGUUGGAGAGGAAAGGCGACAGAGGAGGGAGAAAACCUGGGAAGAGAUGUAUCUGGAGAAGGCGCAGAAUAGGGUGCAGAACGAGAACAAGAAGUGGGAGCCGGCUGUGGCUGUGCCCAUGUCCAGGUUCAUUGUCUGCAAGGGAAGGUCUCAGGCCGACCUCACAUCUGACUGUUGUCUCCAGACCCAGAAUGACCCAGCUCUAGAGUCCGACCAAAAUUCCGAGCCCAGCCAAGCUCCAGAGGUCACGAUGGCUGCUGCCGACGCCCAAUGUUAGGUACUGGACAUUGAGUUUGAUGAGAGAGAACGUGUAGAUGUAGAUGUGGUUUACAGGGGACGGAUCAUUCCCCUUGAAGAGCUCCGAGAGGCUAAGCAGCGGCUCCUCCAGGAGGCUGGGGACACUGAAUUCCAGGCCGAGGCCAAAUCCAACAAAACUCAAUGCAGGAACUACAUUGACCAGCUGAAGAGGAACUCAAAGCCCUUCCUAGUGAUAGAGGAGGAGGAGAAAGAGUCCAGUGGCAGCGAGAGCUCCAGCCUCAGUGGUGAGACUAAGAAGAUGGAGGCAUGUGCCAAUGAGGAGGGGAAGGACCUCAGAGAGGAGGAAGGAAGUGAACAGCCCAAAAAGGAGAAGGGCAAUGAAGGAAGGUGAUUCGCUGGCUGAACGGAAAGGUUAAAGACCGCUACCAGAAGAGGAAGGAGCAAACCGACUACAACGAGGAGCAGAAUGGGGUACUAAGGGGCGUAUGACAUCACCCACACAGAGCAGGAGCAAAUUAACCGGGCAAAGCUGCUGAAGGCUGAACAGAAGAGGCAGACGCUGGAGGACCGCUGGACAGGGUGGGAGAAGGAGAGGGCUUAGAAGAAAGAGGCCAGGAAGCUCGAAAAGAGGGAGAAGGCAGGUUCCAAUUCUAGAGACAACAUCAGCACAUUGAAAAUGGCCAGGCUUAUGGUGUGCUUGGAGACUCUUAUGGAAUUCAAGUCCAGGCCACCUCCCCCACCACAUGACCUUUAAUUUAUUUCCUUGUUUGUGUCUCCUCUACUAUCUUCUUCUUAUUACUUAGUAGUAGUAGUACUUCUAACUAUGGUUUCUAAGAAUUAUUGCUAAUUUGUGGCUAAUGAAAGUCAAUAUAGCUAAUUGUAUUGUUUCUUUGUCUCUUUGAGAAGCCAAUUAACCAGACCUAUUAAUAUUGUCUCUACAUGUCACAUCUUACGGUAGAGUAGCAUACAAUCAAUUGCCAAAUUGACUUCAUGGUAGGGAAGUAAUUAUGCGUUUUAAAUGCCAGGCUUUUGGUUGUCUGCUACUUAUGUCCUUUUUCAUAAUCAUAGGGCCUUGGCGCCACAAUGUGGCUUACACUACCCAGUGAACAACACCAUUAUAAGCCAAAGUGCAUCUACAUUAAUUUACCGACGGGCGUCGCUGCGAGAACGCAAGUGGAAAAUAAGAAAAAGGUUGCAGACCGUCAUGUCCCAAAACCACCCCUAUUCAUGCACUCGUAGAUAAAGAAAUGGGUGACUGUGAACUAAUUGUCUUGGGACUGGGCAGUGGGCACAGGAUUUGCAUUAUCUUGGCUUCGUGGUUGCACGAGAUUGGUGACAAUAAGGGAUCACCGUCUUUUACCCAUGUCACUCACCUGUGGAGUUCAAAAUCAUUUUCAAUAAUAACAAGACAUAACAUGCUAAUCGAUAAUAAACCAUUAAAAUGUACCUACUGAUCGCAACUGUAAUUUUGUCUCGUGUUGAACUUAAUUUUGAAGCAUUUAACAUUUUAGUCGUUUAGCGGACGCUGUUAUCCAGAGCGACUUACAGUAGUUAUGUAAGUAUCUUGUUACCUGCGCUGGUGGACAAAGGACAAUUCAGUGUCGAACAAGAAUGUCGCACAUCAAGGCCACGUCUUUAUCUUUUUUUUCUUUACAGCCCUUUGGAAUGGAUUAUGGGUGAAACUUGUUAUCAGGCUUGUAGGCAGUAUGUGUUAUAGGGCUAGGCCUAGUACAUUCUAGGAAUGUGAAAUGGAAUUUGCAGAGGAGGGAUGAUAGCUCUAAGUCAAUAGAACAACGCUGAAGUCAAUUGUGUGUGGGAGAUAGGUUGUCUAGAAUGCACAAUAAUGUGAUGGGUUAUCUGAUCAAGUGUUGCAAUUUCUAAUCUAUUUUUACUGUUAUUAUAGGGUGUAUCAAAUGCCAAGGCCAGAAAGAGCAACCUACUAGGUAAAAAGAAGCCUAGACAUCCGGAUACUUUUUUUUGUAACGGCUCUUCACUGAGUCAUUUGUGGAUUGGCAGACUUGGAGGUGACUUCGAUACACUGUGGGUACGGAGCAUCUUCUUGACUUUCCAGAAGCAACAAAGUGUCAUAAAAAAAAUUGUUCAGACCAAAAAAACCUGACCAUGGGUAUGGUGUUUUUCAUCUAAGGGAGUCCAAAACAUUUUGGCGCAGAUGAAUCACUUUAAGGCAAUCCGUGUCGUUUCUGAAAGAAAUGUAACACUGGGUAGGUUGAGCAGCCACUCACAGCAGAUAGGCCUAGUCGUUGUUUAACCCGCCUCCAAACUAC